rnacentral:rRNA from 1 species
AUUGAACGCUGGCGGCAAGCCUAACACAUGCAAGUCGAGCGGAUGAGGGGAGCUUGCUCCCUGAUUUAGCGGCGGACGGGUGAGUAAUGCCUAGGAAUCUGCCUGGUAGUGGGGGAUAACGUUCCGAAAGGAACGCUAAUACCGCAUACGUCCUACGGGAGAAAGCAGGGGACCUUCGGGCCUUGCGCUAUCAGAUGAGCCUAGGUCGGAUUAGCUAGUUGGUGAGGUAAUGGCUCACCAAGGCGACGAUCCGUAACUGGUCUGAGAGGAUGAUCAGUCACACUGGAACUGAGACACGGUCCAGACUCCUACGGGAGGCAGCAGUGGGGAAUAUUGGACAAUGGGCGAAAGCCUGAUCCAGCCAUGCCGCGUGUGUGAAGAAGGUCUUCGGAUUGUAAAGCACUUUAAGUUGGGAGGAAGGGCUGCUGGUUAAUACCCUGCAGUUUUGACGUUACCAACAGAAUAAGCACCGGCUAACUUCGUG